CGGAGAGUUUGAUCCUGGCUCAGGACGAACGCUGGCGGCGUGCUUAACACAUGCAAGUCGAGCGGACCGACGCCGUCUCUUCGGAGACGGGAUAGGUUAGCGGCGAACGGGUGAGUAACACGUGGGUAAUCUGCCCCAAAGAUUGGGAUAACUCCGGGAAACCGGGGCUAAUACCGGAUCCCUUGCCGGGACCGCAUGAUCCUGGCAAGAAAGGUCGUCUUCGGACUUCCGCUUUGGGAUGAGCCCGCGGCCCAUUAGCUUGUUGGUGAGGUAACGGCUCACCAAGGCGACGAUGGGUAGCCGGCCUGAGAGGGUGUCCGGCCACACUGGGACUGAGAUACGGCCCAGACUCCUACGGGAGGCAGCAGUGAGGAAUAUUGCGCAAUGGGCGAAAGCCUGACGCAGCGACGCCGCGUGGACGAUGAAGGCCUUCGGGUUGUAAAGUCCUGUCAGGAGGGACGAAGCGGUACUUGUACCGUGACGGUACCUCGGUAGGAAGCUCCGGCUAACUACGUGCCAGCAGCCGCGGUAAGACGUAGGGGGCUAGCGUUGUCCGGAAUUACUGGGCGUAAAGAGCUCGUAGGCGGUUUGUUAAGUUGGGUGUGAAAGCCCUCGGCUCAACCGAGGAAUUGCACUCGAUACUGGCAGGCUAGAGUCUAGUAGAGGGAAGUGGAAUUCCCGGUGUAGCGGUGAAAUGCGCAGAUAUCGGGAAGAACACCGGUGGCGAAGGCGGCUUCCUGGGCUAUGACUGACGCUGAGGAGCGAAAGCUAGGGGAGCGAACAGGAUUAGAUACCCUGGUAGUCCUAGCUGUAAACGAUGGGCACUAGGUGUGGGGGGUUACCAACUCCCUCCGUGCCGAAGCUAACGCAUUAAGUGCCCCGCCUGGGGAGUACGGCCGCAAGGCUAAAACUCAAAGGAAUUGACGGGGGCCCGCACAAGCGGCGGAGCAUGUGGCUUAAUUCGACGCAACGCGAAGAACCUUACCAGGGUUUGACAUGCACUUGAAAGUCAUGGAAACAUGGCCCUCCUUCGGGACGGGUGCACAGGUGGUGCAUGGCUGUCGUCAGCUCGUGUCGUGAGAUGUUGGGUUAAGUCCCGCAACGAGCGCAACCCUUAUCGCAUGUUGCCAUCAGGUUAUGCUGGGAACUCAUGCGAGACUGCCGGUGUCAAACCGGAGGAAGGUGGGGAUGACGUCAAGUCAUCAUGCCCCUUAUGCCCUGGGCUGCACACGUGCUACAAUGGCUGGUACAGAGGGCUGCGAUACCGCGAGGUGGAGCGAAUCCCAAAAAGCCAGUCUAAGUUCGGAUUGGAGGCUGCAACUCGCCUUCAUGAAGUCGGAGUCGCUAGUAAUCGCGAAUCAGCAACGUCGCGGUGAAUACGUUCCCGGGCCUUGUACACACCGCCCGUCACACCACGAAAGUCGGCAACACCCGAAGCCGGUGGGCUAACCCCUUUGGGGAGGCAGCUGUCGAAGGUGGGGUCGGCGAUUGGGGUGAAGUCGUAACAAGGUAGCCGUACCGGAAGGUGCGGCUGGAUCACCUCCUUUCUAGGGA
rnacentral:rRNA from 2 species